GCUGGAUGUGGUGACUGCACACCUGUAAUCCCUGUAGCUCAGGAGGCUGAGGCAGGAGGAUCACAAAUUCAAACCAGUCUCAGCAAAAGCAAGGCGCUAAGCAACUCAGUGAGACCCUGUCUCUA
rnacentral:sRNA from 1 species